UGGUGGCAGCAGCACACCAUCAUGUUUGCCAACCACUACAAAUACCAAGAGGAGGAGGAAGAGAGUCAGGGGGCAACAGGAAGAAGAUUUGAGAGCAGCAGAUCCAGGUGAUAAUUGUGUGCUGUCACUGACCAUGAGAGGACUGGAGCGACUGGAAACGGAGAAAGGUCCCAGUUUACCAGCAGACGUGUUUGGAGACAUGAAGACCGUAACGGACAGCAGACCUUCGACAUAUAUUGUCUGCUGAGACCAGGACACACAGUUCCUCAUUGAUUGAUGGAGACAACACUGGUAAUGGCCUUAACAGCCAGUCAAGGAGGACAAUCAGUGGCCAUUGAUCCGAGCAGCCGGGGAACCAGUGUAUGUCUGUUCAAGUGUGCUCCUUUGAAUCUCACCAGGAUCCCCAACAGAAGAACACCCUGGGAGUGUAUCGUACAAGGACACUUCAGUGGGGUGGAUUUCAUGAUGAGAAAAAGAAUUAGGGCCCACGUUCAAGUCAAGGAGGGAGGUAAAGGAUAAAGGUUUUUGUGGAGAAUGAGCAGUGAGCACACCGCAGGCCCCUCAGCACAGCACCCCCCCCCAACCCCCCCGUGGAUUUUCAGAUGGAGCUGUCCACAUACAGCAUGCUAUAAGCUGCAUCGGGGGGGGGAGCAAGUGCAGACUGGAGGGCUGGCAGAGCCGUGAUGCACACAUCCCUGAGCACUCACUGUUAAUGUUCUUCAGUAUGGAACAAUGAGCAUGGCUUUUCUCUGUGUCCCCUCCGCUUCACUGUCUGUACCAGGAGCUGCAGCAUUGUCUUGAUUCUUCCCUGGUAAUCCUGAGAGAGUCGAUGCAGAGAGCCUGUCACAGCCAAGUCUCUCAGAUCAUUUAUUAUUGAUUCUUCAGACAUGAGGUGGGUGGAGCAAGGACGAUAGAAAGAGACAGAGAAAAUGAGAAACAGGCCGUCCUCGAGAAGAGAGAGAUGUAAAACAUGAUGUGGAAGGAAACAACUGGGAGCAAAGAGAAAAAGAAGGCAAGGACGGUGAAAGAAUAGCCAGCGGCAAAGAUGAGGACUCGGACUUUAAAUCUAUUUAGAUAAAUUAGUGAAGCAGAACAAGUCACAGCAUUUGAACAGUAGAGAUGUUGAAAGAAAGAUGAGUUGUGGGCCGGUGUGUGAACGGGCGACCUCAAAGCUGCAGAAUGUUGCGCCAGAGGCAGAGACGUCUUCAUGCUGUCCCUCGUCAACAGUGUGGCCUGUCCUGGGUCACCUGGACCCGACGUGGGCUGCAGAAAAUCCCUGUGGACGCGAGUGGCUGCUCCCUGUCAUAAAACACUAUAUCAGAGAGCAGAACAUGGGGAGUGGCUUUGUUAGGUCAAUAUUUGGCUGUGCGUGCGUGUGUGUGUGAGACACACUACAGAUGGAUUUUUAUUUUACACUCAUCAGUGUCACACAUUGAAUUAUUCUCUCCCAUUUCUUUUAUUAAACCAUUUGUUUAGAUACGUCUCCCGUCUGGUACCACGAAUGCUUUUGCUGAAUUAGUUUUAUUUUCCAGCAGCAGGCCAAAAUGAAACGCACGCGCUGUAAUGUCUGCCAUUAGAUGUCACUUAAUCACAACAAUAACAAGUUUGAUCAUGUCAGAAAGCAGCGGGGGAUCAUGGGAAUAGUUGUCUUGUCGUCUCGUUCUCUUCCUUUUGUGCAUUCGUGCUUCAAGGGGAGCCCUUCAACGUCACAGUCGGCAGCAAAUGGCAGUGAGCAGUCGUGAUUCAUGAGUGAAAACGAAAAAGACAAAAGGCAACACUUAGGCUAGAGCACAAAUAUUUCCUUAAACACGCUCAUGUUUCAUAGGGUUUGCAUAUUUCUAUGGAUUUGAAGAGUGUCGGAAACAUUUCAACACAAAUGUUCAAUAUGAUAUCUUUAAACAUAAAGUCUAGAUAGUUGUUUCACUCACUUCUUCAUUGCUCCCAGUGGUUAUAUGCCCCUGCUUAUCUCACCGUUUCAGUCUGUGCACAUCUUUCCCAGACUCAUAAAACUGGCACAUGUUGACUUAAAGGAAAUAUAAUUGCAGUGAUUCCAUUACUGCAGAAUUUAAACAGGGUUCUCCAAAGGCAUUCAAAGUGUCCUUAACCUUUAACCUGCAAAAUGUAAUCGGGUCGUCCUUGAGAUGUUGCAUCCUCAAGACUGGGUCACGGGUACAUACAGACAACAGGAAUGGGCUGAAAACACUGAAGUCAUCGAGUACACCAACAGUAUGUAACACUCAAUCAAUCACAGUUCAGCCCUAAAUCAGUUAGGCCUGUGCGCUGCCAGUGCAUCCACAAUGAUAAUUAUCUCCGUAGCUUCAUAUAUGAGAUGUAAUGCUAUUGCAUAGUUGAGUAGCUAAUAUCUCACUGGAGCCCACAUUACUGCACAGUGCAGCAGAGCCAGGAGCUGUUUGGCAGUCACGCUGGAAGUAUAGAGCUCAGAGCGAAGACAUAAAUCACAACAUCGCUCUGGAUCCACUACGACUCAGUAGUGUCAGCGUUACCACGGCACCCAUCAAUCACUCCUUUCAUUAAAGUACACUUGGUACAGUAAAUGUAUGCAAACGCCAUGUACUCCAUCCUCAACCAGGAGAGAACGUCAGGUUAAAUUGUUAACUUUGCAACUAAUCAGCCACUGUCUUGCUCUAAUGCACCAGCAUAGAGACUCAGUUCAGGCAGCGAGAGGCUGAGUGGCUCAAAUAAACCUUAAACUGAGGUUUGAAAAGAACACGGAGCAGUUUAUUUUUUAUUUUUUUGUUCCCUUCAGCUGAGGCAAACAAAGCUUUUACAUCAGAGAUGGUUGAACCCUCAAGUGAACUACAUGGGAAACACAAUCUGGAGUGAAGGACAACCUUGUGUGUGUCUAGGGAUUGACUAUGGAAUAAACUUACAGAGACUGAAACAGACUGGAAUAUUCAUUCAAUAAUAUAAGUGUCAUGUAAAGCCUGAGAUUGUUAUAAAUAAUUUUAAAUAAAA